rnacentral:rRNA from 1 species
CCUACGGGGGGCAGCAGUGGGGAAUAUUGGGCAAUGGGCGCAAGCCUGACCCAGCAACGCCGCGUGAAGGAAGAAGGCCCUCGGGUUGUAAACUUCUUUUAUUCGGGACGAAACAAAUGACGGUACCGACUGAAUAAGCCACGGCUAACUACGGGCCAGCAGCCGCGGUAAUACGUAGGUGGCAAGCGUUAUCCGGAUUUACUGGGUGUCAAGGGCGUGUAGGCGGGAGAGCAAGUCAGACGUUAAAUUCCAGGGCUCAACCCUGGAAUUGGGUGUGAAACUGUUCUUCUUGAGUGAUGGAGAGGCAGGCUGAACUCCGUGGGAAGCGGUGAAAGGCGUAGAGAUACGGAGGAACACCAGUGGCGAAGGCGGCCUGCUGGACAUUAACUGACGCUGAGGCGCGAAAGCGUGGGGAGCAAACAGGAGUAGAUACCCUUGUAGUC